CUCGUAGGUGGUUUGUCGCGUUGUUCGUGAAAACCGGGGGCUUAACCCUCGGCGUGCGGGCGAUACGGGCAGACUAGAGUACUGCAGGGGAGACUGGAAUUCCUGGUGUAGCGGUGGAAUGCGCAGAUAUCAGGAGGAACACCGGUGGCGAAGGCGGGUCUCUGGGCAGUAACUGACGCUGAGGAGCGAAAGCGUGGGGAGCGAACA
rnacentral:rRNA from 1 species